ACGCGAACUCGCCAACCGCGAGAUCAUGACCUGAGCCGAAGUCGGACGCUCAACCGACCGAGCCACCCAGGCAUCCCUAUCUUGCUAUGAUUAUACCAAAGUUAGUCGAUGCCUGCUCUCUUAAUUUGUCUUCUAUUCUUUAGCCUUGUGGAAUUUUGCAAAUUACAGAAGUAGUACAUGCCUGUCAGAAGCUGGGACAAACAGUACAGAAGUGUAUUAAAGAGAGUUAGGCGCCCCCUGCACAUGCUUCGAGGCGCGCAGGGGGGCCAAGGCCGACUGCCCCCAAGAUGUGCCACUUUGGUCACGCAGAUCAUGCCGAACUGAAAACAAUCCAGGCCCAGAAGACGCAGGGAGAAAUUUUGACCUUGCCCCCAAAACUGCCUCAAAGAAAUGAGAUUGGGGACGUGCUCCAGGAAGGGAGCCAUUGCCAUAUUUACCUACAUUAUAAUGUGAAGUAGGUAUGGUGGAGAGCGAGGAAUUCAUCAAGGUCUGGUCGAUCAAAAUCUUCCCUGUGUCCCAUUGUUUCUGGAUGACCCAGUCAACAUUUAUUUACCACGUUCGCUCUUUUUCAUUCUUCCUGUGAGCAUUCCUUCCCUUUGUAGUCUCAGACUCCUUCCUCCUCCUUAGUUCAGGGUGACUUCGCACUGCCUGGCUGUCUUUGGAAUCUUAUGUGUGUGUGGAUUCCCUAUGCCCCUGAAGUUAAAUUUGAUUUUCUCCUGUUAA